AACCCCAAUGUUCCCUUUCCCAUUGGAUCUGAACACUGGUCUUGGCAGUCAUAAAAGGAGGAAAAGUAAUACUGAAGUGAGCCUCACAGGUAUGUAGCAUGUGGGCUGGUUUCAAACCAGG